GGGCGCAUAGCUCAGGGGUAGAGCGCACGCCUGAUAAGCGUGAGGGCGGUAGUUCAACUCUACCUGGGCCCA
rnacentral:tRNA from 1 species